GGAGAGGUGUCAGAGUGGUCUAUUGUGCAACCUUGGAAAGGUUGUGUUCCUUUGCGGAACCCCGAGUUCGAAUCUCGGUCUCUCCGCCA
rnacentral:tRNA from 2 species